UCAUCUUCGCCUCUCCCUCAUUGCCUCUUCUUCCUCUUUCACUGAAACCCUAACACAGUCAAUAAGUGAAACCCUAACACACUCAAUCGGAGUAGAGUUGUUGCUCUCGAUUUACUUUUCUUCAAAUCGUAUGAAAUUGUUGUUGUUUUCUCAAAUUCAACAAAACCUCGAAGAACCCUAGAAUACAAAUCCAGUUUUUUUUUCUCAAUAAUUAAGUUCAAAAUCAAAGUUAAGAAAUGAAGACAAAUCUCUAUUCUAGAAGUUCACUGUCACAAAUCAUAGCUUCAUUAAAAUCCUAUCUCAAAAUCAGGACGCUUGUUUCAACAGACAUCAAACGUUGUAACCCUGGAACUGGUUUUUCUGCUUCUGAAAUCAUUAGGUAAGGUGUUUACUUUUUUACUUACAAAGAACUCCUCAGGUAGUCAAGUGGGCUGAAGAUCUCUUCUCCUAGUGCAAGAAAUAAAACCCCUAAAUCUACUAUUGAAUAUUCUUUUACUGCUGGAUAAGCUAAUGUCGUCACUUCAUGGCCAAGUGCUUCACAACAUCAAAAGAGACCAAUGUUUUUUGUUGUUGCUUAUUGUGCAGGUGAUUCUAUGCAUGCAGUUUUGCUUACAUAUGGAUGUACAAAAAUGGAAAUGAAGUGCAUAGGUUGGAUAUAGUCUCUUUCAGGGAUGUCGAAGCUAAGUGUGACUAUUUACAGCACCGCGGUAGUUAUAACUGUCUUUACUUGUCUCAACUUCUACACACAAGGAGUUUCAAUUUUCUUCUUAUUCUUCCAUGGAUUCAAAACCAAGCACAAAAUUUCGAGCGUGAUAAAACGGGAUUCAGUUUCAGGUAACCUAAAAUUAUCAUGUGAUUAACUGGGUCUGGGUAAUUUAUCGAAACCCAAGUCUUCGAAAACUUGUCAAGUUUCAUGAUUUCGUUAUGAUUUUGAGCAAAACCCAGAAUUCAAUGUCUACAAAUUAACUGAAAAAACAUCAUAGUGCCUGAGGUAUAUCAUAUGUAUGACUAGAUGGUAUAUCAUAAGAUGAAAGCCAAACGUAAUUAGCUUGAUUAUUUUUAGUGUAUGUAUAAGUCAUAUAAUGUCGUAUGCUUCUCACUUGCUGGAUCAAGCAGAUAUAUGUGAGGAUCCUUAUUUGUGGAUUGUAUAUAUAAGCUUCCUUGUAAGUGCUUAUUGAAUCUUUAUUAAUGGAUUUAUUCCAUCUAAUUGGCAUAAAUUUUAAGUAACUUGUAGUUUUUGACUGCAGUAAUACUGUUUAUCUUGUAUUAAGCUAGCCAAUAUCUUGUAUUAAUCUAGCCAAUUAAGCCUUUCAAUCACGUAGUUGGCAAAGCUUUUGAAUGGUCAAUCAUGUGUAAUUGCAUACAUUGUUGAACAGGUGAAUUAUCAUGAAUGCUUACUUCUCAGUUUGUUUUUCCUUUUAUUUCUUUAAUUUGGUGAUCAACUGAGUUGAUAUGUAUACUAAUGAGCCAUUGAUUUCUUAUUUAGGGAUUGAAGAAGAAUGGUUUUCCUAUGCCAAAUGCUGUGGUUUUAAUAGGUAUACGUGAUUAUGGGACUUGUCUAAGGUUAUUCAAGGUAAGAAUAGGUAUAUUAAAUGUGGCCUAUAUAACCAACCUUACUGCAUCUUGAUCUGUAGCUUGGCUGGCUAAUGCAUCCAGUAGUCUGGUUGACGGUUAUUUUCAGCAACCACUUGAAGAAUUAUAAUGCAAAGCAUGCUAUGUAGAAUGAACCAGAAAGGGGUAAGAGGAGUUGUAGCAACUGUUCAACCAUAACCACAGUUACAACAGUCAAAGCUUGCUGCAAGACAAGCUAGUCAUGGUGUUUAGUUUCAAAGGGGAGCUUUCAAUUAUCCAAUUUCACAUUUCUAUUGGGUACCUUUCUGCAGUUUUAUUUCUCUCAUGUUGCUUGGUAUAGAUGGCGCAGUCUUGUGGGUUAAACAUGAAUCUACAGUUAACCAUCAUUCUUGCUUCUGAUCUGUAGUUCUCUUUUACUGAAGUAAUAUUCCAUUCUGCAUCCUUUAUUUUUUGAGGUAUUGUAUCUGUCAGUCACGAAACAUGCUUGAGGCCUAGAUACAUAUGUUCUUAUGUUUUUCUUAGUGAUGUUUGGUGUAGUUUAGUAAUGGUAGUGCAGUUGAUGGCUAACGAAUCUAGUGAGUUAUGCUAGUGUUGUAUUAUCUAACCUCCCGUAUGGUAGAAUAUCCACCUUUUGUUCAAAGAAAAUAGAUGGAUAAAGUUAAUAUGAUAGUAGGUAUCCUAUCUCUUAUAGAUUGUUUCUUUCAGAUAUUAUGAUUAUGCAAAAUUGUGAAACCUGAGAAGUAUGUAUUCUGCAUAUUGCAGGAAUCUUACAGGCACCUUUAAGUGUGCUAUUUUGACCAAGAUGGAUGUGCUGAUCUUGAGUAAGCUUUAUAGGAGGCCCUAUUUACUUGGAUCCUCCUGUUGAGAAGGAAGUAGUGGAUAUUCUUAUUUGUACGAACCUCUUUGAAGGAAUGAAUCAUAACAAGUUAGUCUAUGGGUUAUUCACUUUGAUUCAUUUUUAUAUUUUUAUUCUCUUGCAACUUCUUAUCUCAUUGUGUAUUAAUUAAGUUAAGCUUGUUUUUACUUGGUUGCAACUCACAAAGUGUUGGAUUUGAAUUGUACUUGGUUAAAUUUCGUAAUGAAUAAAAUAAUUUUUUAAUUGUAAA